rnacentral:rRNA from 1 species
AUGCUCUUAGUAGGUCAGACUUACGGAUCUACAUGCUCCCUGCAGCUGCAUCGUCUUCUCCGCAUGGCGGCGCCUUCUUCAACUGAACUCCGCAUCGCCUCUUCGAUUCGCCCUACGCAGAUGAACUCCACCGACCAGGUCGCCAUGGUCGCCGACCAGCUCCUUGAUCAGAACACAAUGGCCGCCGAUGAGCUCCGUGAUCAGAUCACGCUGGCGCCCGAGAAACUCCCUGUUCCUAACCCAGCGCCUUCCGCCUGCUCCACCAACAACUGUCUGCGGGGGCUUGCACAGGAAGAUGACUAUGUAAUACUGAUUCCUCUUUCCCACAUCUUUGCCCUCAUGCUGCGAGCUCUCAAGUUGCCCCCUGCGACUUACCAACACAAGCCAUAUCCGGGCAAUGAGUCUUGUGUGAUGGUUACUUUCAAUUCGUCGUUCCAAUUGAUCGAUGGUUUACUUGUUCCAACCUCAAUAUCUGGUGUGAUCUCAAAAAACUGUGAUGAAGCAGACGACAGUGCUGUUAUGGCAGCCAUUAAGUUUAUGGAGGAUGUAUGUGGCAAGGAAGUCAGGGAUUAUCACUACAUCCAUGUUAAAAGGCUGGAAAGUAAGGUGACACACCUAAUAAGGUUGCUGGUUGCAGCAAACAAAACAAUAAAGAAGGCACGCAGAGGAUGGUACUAUGCUGCCAGAUAUAUUCCAACCAGAUACAGAAUACGACCGUUACUCGGUACCUAA